AUGCAUAUCAAAUUAUACAUCUUUUCCUUUCUAGAUGGCAAAGGGUGGAGAAGUCUGGAGACCUGCGUGGCUGCAUCUGCCCGAUGUCACCUGAGGAACUGGAAGGUGAUGCUGCUUGUGUUUGUAUGUCUUCUGGGUCUCGUUGAUGGACAUUUCCUUCAGGAGGAGAAUGCAGAACCCCGUCCUAGCAAACUGAGAGCCUCUUCAACCACUCCGGAACCACAGAAAGAGUGGCAGAGCAGAGCACCAUGGGCACGACUGCAUGGUCAGUACANGCAUUUAAAAUAAAUGUAUGCAUUUAGCUGUUAUCCAAAGCCAAAGAGGGGGGAAAAACCAACAAUAUUCAUGAUAUACAUUGCCAGGUUUAUUUGACAACAAUUUCAUAUAACAAUUUAUACAAUACAGAUUGUUUCAAAGCAAAUAAAUGUUGAUAGACAGGAAAAAACAUUGUUGAUGGAAUAAAUUUCAUCACUUUUGAAACAAAUUCAAUUUUGGCUAUAAUGCAGCUUUAUGUAAUGUUAAAGCUUUAUGCAAUGUAAUGCAGUUUAUUUAAUUACGUGCAAAGUUAGUGUCAUUAUCCAGCUCAAUUCAGUUCAAAUUUUGUUCUCAUCUGAUAGUGUCAGUCCAGUUAAACCGAUAAUAUUACUAUAUUAAUUGUCUUUAAAACCCCAGGACAAAAUUCGCAGAAAUUAUCCUAAUAUAGGACCAUUUUAAAGUACCAAAUUCAACAAAACACUGUUAGAGAAAACAAACGUGUAAUUGCACUUUUGACUCACACUCUCAGUUAUUGAGAUAUAACUCUUUUGACAAUUUCCUCAUUUCAACUACACUUUACUUUAGUUUACAAGCCUCAUCCAGCUUUGGCGUAAUUGCAAAGCAUGUAAUUAAAAUUGGAGACUUUUUGUCUGUACCUACAGUAAAAUUAACCCAUCAACAACACUUGCUGAUAGAUGUGAGCAAUUUCAAAAUUAUAUGUUGUCACAAAGUGUUUCAGAUGUGAAGGUCUCAAUUACUGUAUGUUUCAUUAACUAUCAACUUUGUCUCAGAUGUUUCUCUUAAUAUUAUGUAGGAGAAAUAGAAGUAUAAACAAGUAAGUCAAUAGUUGAUAUGCAGUUAGUGUAUAGAGCUAUAAAAUAUGGAUAGUGUUUCAGAUCAUUUGGAAAUUUGAUAAUAAAUGCGUAGAUGAGAAAUUUUUACUUAUAUUGAAAUCUCUAACUUUACAUUGCAGACUUUGACCGCUAAAACAGAAGUCUUAUUAUUAUUGUUUUUUCUCAACUUAAUCUUAUUUGUGGAUAGGAAAAACAAUUGAGAUAAACAAAGGAGAUUUCAUUUGUGUGUUUUCUGUGAUAUGUGAAGCCUGCUUCUUUAGGUUGGAGGAAUGGAAGUUGAAACCAGAUCAGUCUUCUCAGGCUUCUUACUUGAGUUAUUAUUGCAUUUUCUGUCUAACCUGUCAGAGCUUUGAAUCCUUUGGGAAUGAUGCCUUGCACUUGCUGUUACCUCAGACACUUCACAAAGACCUAAUGGGUGAAUCUCACAAAACCUGUCAAAAACAUGUCCAGAUCAUAUUUCACGCCAAAAAAAAAAAAAAAGAAAAAAGUAUACAUAUAUAUACACACACACAGAAGACAGCUAAACAUUAUGUUUUGAAUUUUUUUAUUUUAAAGUUGUUGUUUUUUAAUGUAUAUUUUUUAACUUCACUGAGUUGAAUAUUAGUUAUACAGAUGAUUUCAAAAUUAUGCCAUUAUUGCAUACAGAAGGUUUAAGACCUCUGAGAUGGAACAGACCAAGACCAGCAUUUAAUGUUUAAAACAACCUAGUUUUCAUGAUAUAUCACAAUCUUGCCUCCUUACUCAGCAUUGCAAACAAACACAUUUUAUUAAAUCUUUUCUGCUCAACUGGAGUCGGUCUAGGUCAGUGUAGUUGUGUUCAGUGUUGGCAAAUCAAAUCCUGCUCUAAAUACUGAUUUUAUGGUUUAGAAUGAUUUAUGUUAAGUCUAACCGUUUACAUAACAUUGCAUAUAUGUAUAACAUUUUAUUACUAUAAUUUGAAAACAGUAGAAAAUCAGUAAAAAACAGUAAAGAAAUCUUAGAAUCAUUUAGAAGUGUUACAGUAAAGAGAAGUUGGGGGUUAAUGUUCUUAAAUGUGAUUACAAUGAAUGUCACAAUGAAAUAUAAAUAGGACUCACUUUCUUUAUGCAAAAUAUGAUUUCUUCUUUCCUUUUGAUUUUAGGGUGAUAUGUGACCUGGGUGUUUAUGUGACAUUAAGCCUUCAACACUUUUUUGGUAUUUAUAGGGAACAUCUUUGUUGAAAUUUAAGACAAUGUUCCUCUCAUCCUGUGAUUCUGUGUUUAUGUCACAGUGACACGUUGCUUCGAGGCAAAUUCCUUGUAAAUUAUUCUGUUUUUUUGCUAUUUUCAUUAUGUUCAGUGGAAAUAAAAUAUCUGUGCACAUAAUAAUGUAGAAACACAAGUGGAAUGAAAACUUACCAUGAGUAUCUCUUGUGAGGACCAAUACAGUCUUAAGAUAUAGAAAUAUAUUCUCUGUAAUCAGCUCUAAGGCUCUUCUGACAUAUAUACCAGCAUGUCCAUGUACUCUGAUUUGUGCAGUAUGAUAAACAUGAUCAGCAUUGGUUGAGCCACAAGCUGACAUGCUGAGCAAACAAACAGAGCCGUGCUUUUACAGAGCCACAGCCUCACAGUGUUUACACUCUUCAGGAAGUCAACCGUGAUAUUGACCAUUUUGCUGCCACUGAAUUAGACCCUGUUCUCAAAAACACCGCCAUCAAUGGAUGCUGACUGGCCGUUAAAAUACACAAAACAGCUAAAAUGCACAAUAUAUUAACAGAUGUGACAUGAAAGUUACCGCUGUAGGUCUGCAAAGAAGAUGCAUAAAACAUACACUGUUUAAAAAUGUUUUUGAAACAUGUCUUUUCUGCUCACCAAGGCUGCAUGUAUUUGAUCAAAAAUACUGUAAUAUUGUGAAAUAUUAUUACAAUUUGAAAUAGCUGUUUUCUGUGUGAAUAUGUUUUACAAUGUAAUUUAUUGCUGUGAUGCACAUAAGGAAUAUUUUGUCUCUGAACCUUAAGAAAACCGGUAGUAUGAUAUCUAUCAAGUAGUAGGACCAUCUUCUAUGUGAUAUUGUUUAAAAAUAAAUGUACAGCAUCAGCUGGGAUAAGAGAAAUUAUUUCAACAUAAAAAACGGCACACUUCACCUUUAAGAGGAGGGAUUGUUUCUUUACUGAGACACACAGAUGUUUUUCACACCCAGUGCAUUUGACAUGUUUUUCCCUGGCUCAUGCAUGCAUUAGAAUAAUCUCAGCGCGCUCUUCCUUAUCAAUUUUAUGUUCCUCUUCAAAUAAUCCAGAGCUCCUCCGUGCAGGUUUUGACACAGCAAAUUGCUCCCUUGGAAGCUAAUUACUGGAAUCUUCGCCUGGAGAAAGUUUGAAUCAUAUUCUAAAGUUCUGCUCACCUUGUGACUUUAAAAAAAAAAAACUAUAAACAUGAUGUGGCAUGUUGUGGGAUGUUUUCAGCACUGCAUGCUGCAGUUGCAUGAGUUACAGUACAAUAAUAGUCCAGUGCAGUGGCAGUUAGGUGCUCUGCAAACAGCAGGAGGAAUUUCACACCAUGGAGAGACGUGGACACGUUACAAUCAGCUGCUGAGGCGUGAACCAGAGCCACUAGUGUUAUCACCCUUUUAAAUGCCAGUGUUACAUUACAGUGGGCGGAUGUGCCUUGCUUGGCAGGAAUUGAGACUAUUUUAAUGCAUCAGAGCCACGUGCUGGAAUCUGUAUUCUCUGGGGAAAUAGUUCAACCAAAAAUCUUUUACUCAUGCCAGCGUCAUUCCAAACCUGAAUGACUUUCUAUCUGUGGAACACAAAAGGUGAUUUUUUUGUCUAGAAAAUGGCCACUGUUUUCCAUAUAAUGUACAUUUAUGCAUUUAGCAGACGUUUUUCUCCAAAGUGACUUACAUUGCAUUCAGGCUAUACAUUUUUUAUUUUUUAAUCAGUAUGUGUGUUCCCUGGGAAUUGAACCCACAAUCUUUUGC
rnacentral:lncRNA from 12 species